rnacentral:tRNA from 1 species
UCCCUUGUGGCUCUGAUGGUAAAGCAUCUGUCUUAAAUGCAGGAGACCUGGGUUUGAUCCCUGGGUGGGGAA